ensembl:snRNA U2 U2 spliceosomal RNA
CCCUCUUCCCGAUGGCCUUUUGGCUAAGAUCAAGUGUAGUAUCUGUUCUUAUCAGUACAUAUCAGUUUUUGAAGAGGUUUACCAAAAUUUUUGUGGACUUUUCAAAGAAAAGUAUUCAUGAGCACAGACUUUUACUUUCAUGAUAUUACAAACUAUU